GUCGUACUGCCGUGCACCUGUGGUCCCAGCUGCUUGGAGACUGAGGCAGGAGGAUUGCUUUUUGGAGUCCAGGAGUUCAAGACCAAGCCCGGAGCCUGGGCGACACAGCCAGACCCAGCUCAA
rnacentral:sRNA from 1 species